GACGAACGCUGGCGGCGUGCCUAAUACAUGCAAGUUGAGCGCUGAAGGUUGGUACUUGUACCAACUGGGUGAGCAGCGAACGGGUGAGUAACGCGUGGGGAAUCUGCCUUUGAGCGGGGGACAACAUUUGGAAACGAAUGCUAAUACCGCAUAAAAACUUUAAACACAAGUUUUAAGUUUGAAAGAUGCAAUUGCAUCACUCAAAGAUGAUCCCGCGUUGUAUUAGCUAGUUGGUGAGGUAAAGGCUCACCAAGGCGAUGCUGCCGUGCCGAACUGAGAGGGUGAUCGGCCACCUUGGGGCUGAGACCAGGCCCAAACUCCUACGGGAGGCAGCAGGAGGGAAACUUCGGCAAUGGGCGAAAGUCUGACCGAGAAACGCCGCGUGAGGGAAGAAGGUUUUCGGGUCGUAAAACUCUGUUGGUAGAGAAGAACGUUGGUGAGAGUGGAAAGCUCAUCAAGUGACGGUAACUACCCAGAAAGGGACGGCUAACUACGUG
rnacentral:rRNA from 1 species